UACGGGGGGGGCAAGCGUUACUCGGAAUUACUGGGCGUAAAGCGUGCGUAGGUGGUGAGUUAAGUCUGUCGUGAAAGCCCCGGGCUCAACCUGGGAAUGGCGAUGGAUACUGGCUCGCUAGAGUGCGGUAGAGGAGAGUGGAAUUCCCGGUGUAGCAGUGAAAUGCGUAGAGAUCGGGAGGAACAUCAGUUGCGAAGGCGGCUCUCUGGACCAGCACUGACACUGAGGCACGAAAGCGUGGGGAGCAAACAGG
rnacentral:rRNA from 1 species